GAUGAACGCUGGCGGCGUGCCUAACACAUGCAAGUUGAGCGAGAAAUCACUUAAAGAAGCUUCGGUAGACUUAAGAGAUGGAGAGCAGCGGACGGGUGAGUAACGCGUGGGAAACCUGCCCUUGACAGGAGGAUAGCCGAGAGAAAUUUCGAUUAAUACUUCAUAAAGCAGAGCAUUCGCAUGGAUGAACUGCCAAAGAAUUAUCGGUCAAGGAUGGUCCCGCGUCUGAUUAGCUGGUUGGUAAGGUAGCGGCUUACCAAGGCGACGAUCAGUAGCCGGCCUGAGAGGGUGAACGGCCACAUUGGAACUGAGACACGGUCCAGACUCCUACGGGAGGCAGCAGUGGGGAAUAUUGCACAAUGGGCGAAAGCCUGAUGCAGCAACGCCGCGUGAAGGAAGAAGGCUUUCGAGUCGUAAACUUCUGUCCAAAGGGAAGAAUAAUGACGGUACCUUUGAAGAAAGCCCCGGCUAACUACGUGCCAGCAGCCGCGGU
rnacentral:rRNA from 1 species